rnacentral:rRNA from 1 species
CGAAGGACGAACGCUGGCGGCGUGCCUAACACAUGCAAGUCGAACGAGAUCCAUGGGAGCUUGCUCCCGGAAGAUCUAGUGGCGAACGGGUGAGUAACACGUGAGAAACCUGCCCUGGAGUGGGGAAUAACUCGGGGAAACUCGAGCUAAUACCGCAUACCCUCGGAUGGUCGCAUGGCCGACCGAGGAAAGAUUUAUCGCUCUAGGGGGGUCUCGCGGCCUAUCAGCUAGUUGGUGGGGUAACGGCCUACCAAGGCAACGACGGGUAGCUGGGUUGAGAGAACGAUCAGCCACACUGGGACUGAGACACGGCCCAGACUCCUACGGGAGGCAGCAGUGGGGAAUCUUGCGCAAUGGGCGAAAGCCUGACGCAGCAACGCCGCGUGCGGGAUGACGGCCUUCGUGGUUGUAAACCGCUUUCAGCAGGGACGAAAAUGACGGUACCUGCAGAAGAAGCCCCGGCUAACUACGUG